rfam:Fukomys damarensis contig151615, whole genome shotgun sequence.
GGGUGUGUGGCUCAAUGGCGGAGCACUUGUGUAGCAUGCAUGAGAUCCUGGGUUCCAUUCCCAGCACCCUCC